UGUCUGCACACAAUCCCCCCUCCUCCGAGAUCCGAGAGCGCGCUUAAAAAAAGAGAGAGAAUCAAUCUUCAGCGUCCGUAGCCAAUAAGAAGAGCUCUGCUCUGGCCGAGUAGCCAAUCGGUUGGCUCCGUCUGCGCUUCUCUCUGGCCCACUCCUCACCCCUCUCUUUCCUGAAAAACUGCCCACAUAUGGGACGUAUAUGUAAGACGUCUAUAUAUUUCUCUGUAUAGAGAAGGGUGGGAUCUCGACGUAGAUUUGAACAGGGACCGGGAGAGAGUGGAAUAAUCGGCGGCGACGGCAAGAAAAGGGGAAGCGAGGAAGGAGCGCAUCAGCGGGUGGGCGCUGUCGUCUUCGUCCCAGUCGCUUUCCUUGCAAGGGUUCACACGGACGAAACGAGAGCCGGAGAGAUCGAGGAGCGACUUCGUUUCGUUUGUCCCCCUCCUGCCCGCCCGGCCGCCCGGCUGCACGUAGCGGUCCGGUGUCACGAUCGCAUCCUUCCGCUCCGUCCAGUGGAGGGACAACACCGGACAGCAUCAGCUUAGCCCGCCUGCGCGCCCGCCGGGGAACCAGCGGUACACACGCCUAGGCACGCACAUCCGUGGGAAAGGAGCACCAGCGAGGCGACUUCUCUUCCGACGGCAAGGGAGUGAGACUUUCAGGGGACCGGCAGCUACCCAGCUGCACUCAUUCGCCCCCGCCACCCUCCUCCACUUGCACCGGCCUAUCCUCACGCCAAAAAAGCCACCCGCUGCUUUAUAUAUUGAACCUCAGGGAGGGCUAAGCGGCCGCCCUUUCCGUGCGCCUCUCUGCAACUUUCUCCCUUUUCCUGCACAUGUGGAAAAACAGAGGAGGGGGCGUCUUCUUCUUCUUCUUACCCCGACCGCCUCCAUCUCUCCGCUGUGAAGAGUCUGAUCAUGGGCAAUCUAAAGGGGGAAGAGAGCAGAACCUCCCCCUCAGGCGCACGCACACGCACACCCGACCCACUAUUUUUCCAAGUGACAGACACCGUCUACGACUGGGGAGGAAUUAAAGCCACACAAAGGGAAAGAAAGAGGUCCAGACUCCAGACUGAGAAGCACGCAGAAGCUCUCGCUCUGCCCCGCCCCGCCCCGGCGGGAGAUCAAAGGAGGAGCCGGAUUAACCCUAUGAUGUCUGUCUCUGCCCAAAGUAUCUUUAAAGGCACUGAAAAAUAAGAACUUAUCUGAUACCAUGGUGACCCUAACACAGGAACUAGGUGAGUCUCUUUUGGUGGCCACUAACAAAAAGGCCCUUUCUUUNGUAGCCAACAGUUGUGCCUAGGGUUUGAGGGACAAAUUGUUUUCUUGGCAAAGGAGUGGAUCCUGGAUACAGUUGCCAUAUGGGAAUGAAAGGACAGGACUUUUGGACUCUUCNGAAUUGUAACAAAAAAAAGAAAGACAUUUCAGCCAAUAUU
ensembl:lncRNA